CACAAGCGGUGGAGUAUGUGGUUUAAUUCGAUGCAACGCGAAGAACCUUACCUGGUCUUGACAUCCCGGAGACCCUUAGGAAACUAGGGGUGCUUCCAUCUGGAAGAAUCUGGAGACAGGUGCUGCAUGGCUGUCGUCAGCUCGUGUCGUGAGAUGUUGGGUUAAGUCCCGCAACGAGCGCAACCCUUGCCUUUAGUUGCCAGCAGUUCGGCUGGGCACUCUAAAGGGACUGCCGGUGUUAAACCGGAGGAAGGUGGGGAUGACGUCAAGUCCUCAUGGCCUUUAUGACCAGGGCUACACACGUACUACAAUGGCCGAUACAAAGGGCAGCGACACUGCGAGGUGAAGCCAAUCCCGUAAAAUCGGUCUCAGUCCGGAUUGGAGUCUGCAACUCGACUCCAUGAAGUUGGAAUCGCUAGUAAUCGUGGAUCAGCAUGCCACGGUGAAUACGUUCCCGGGCCUU
rnacentral:rRNA from 1 species